GGUUGCCUAUGGUAUCUGAUGUCCAGAUCUACAUCAAGUAACUGGACGUUUCGUUUUUACGGGCACAUAACAAGUUGAACAGAUCUUGCGACACAGAUUGCUCCUUCAUUUCAAUGAGCAUUCUGUUACUAUAAAACUGUUUACAUUU